CCCGGCCUGUUGAUGAACCGGAUGAGUGCUGGCAACACCGACAACAGCCAGCCGAGGUCCAGUGCUCUGCACAUAUUGGGCUUCAUGGGAAUGGCAGACGUUGCAGCCGGCGUGGACGUCACUCGCUAGACGAAAACGCUGUUGAACUCUACUGCACGCAACACGUCAACAAGUUGCAUCGCGAGAACGGUCGUGCGGAGGUCGUUCCUGCUCAUCGCCAACAGCAGGAUGAACAGCGUAGGAGGGCGGAGGAGCGUGAGCAACUCCACCCGAGACGAAGGUCACCGCGUCUGGUAGAGCGAGAGAUCGCAGCUGCCGCCGCUGUUCAACUCGCCGCGGAGAGAGAGCAACGUCGUGCCGCCAAUCGGGCAAACCAGAACCUGCGGAGGUCGGCCCGGAUUGCCGCGAGGCGAGGCAAUGUGUGAUUAUAGCCUGGACUGAUUCGCAGAAGCAGCAGGGGGGAGACCGAGGGGGGAUACUGGGUCGAACACUGCUGAGGUUCUCGGGACGUAAACGCCUUGCUAUAGGAGUAGUAGGGAGGAAGCCGAGACGGGUAGUGCAUGGUCACUCAAAACCAGACCCGCUGUACUAUCGUAGUCAAGAAAGACUGGGUGUGGUCAGUCGAGGUAGACGCCGGAGGCCAUUCCCUUUCUUUGACCGCCUGUAAAUUAUUCCAAGAAGAUCAGGCCUCACCGUGGGACGCGCACACACGUCGUAAGUAUGCAGGUAUUUCAAUGUCUACCUUGUGAUAAUAUAUUCCUACUCACCAGAUCAGUUUACCCAAUACCUCCUAAUAGAAGUCAUGUAUACUUCUGAGGUUUGACAUGUAGGUUAUUACAUUGAGAAUUUGUGAAUAUUUGGCUGAAAAUCUUUUUUAAUAUACGUUAUAUUGUUAUAAGGGUUCAGAAGUUGUCUUUUUUUGUAAGUUUAGUUAUUGGUUUUGCAAUCAUCCAUCUCAUAAAAGUAGUUGUACUGAUAUUUCAAUGUGUAUUAUUUAUUGUUAUAAAAUUUAGUGUUGAGUUUAUAAAGGUUAAGCUUAAAUUAUUAAUAUGACCUACUCGGUGAUUAAUGAGCAAUGUGUAAUUUAAAAUGUGUUCAAUUGACCUAUGCUUUAUGUACUGUAUAUAGUUGUUAGCCAUGUGAAGUAAAAAA